GCUGAUAACCUGGGUGCCCAUUCUCUUGCAGGAUUCCUGGAAAGCUUUGUUGUUGACAAAUUCUGCAGAUUCUGUUUGGCAAGCAUUAGUGAAGUUCAACAGCAAGAGGUUUUUUCCGAGUUCAGCAGAGUGGUAGGGAGAAAUCUGAGAGACAACUUCUUUGACACACUGGACCAAUUGUCUCCCAGCUUGAUAAGCCUGUUCCGAAAUAAGAGAGGCCUUUCUGGACAGCUCUUGGCAGCACUUUUACAUCAGUCAAAGAUCACUGAACCAACAGACAUUCGGUGCCUUUGCCUACGAGGACUGCUGGUUCUCUUGGGAGAUGAUCCUUCGGUUUUCUUCAAGACUUAUUCUGAUCGUGCUGAUGAAGACGUGUACAAUCAAACUGC